UAAAAGAGAAAGAAAAAAACCCCACCCAG
rnacentral:piRNA from 1 species